UCUUGCAGAUUCUCAGCCCACAGAACACACGAGAAUAGGAAAGUCACUCUGAGCUACUGCUGGAUCGAGGUUUUUUGCAAUUUGCUAAAAACAAGUGGAUCAGCAGUUCAGAUGAGAACUCCUUAAAUCACUCACUCUUCCAGUCCUUAUCUUUCUUUAUUUAAGUGGAUUUUCCCUUUUCAGUUGAAUAAGGGGAGGAAACUGCCUGGGAUAGAGCAAAAAGACUCUCCUGAGCUAAGGAUGUUUGCAUCCAGGGCAGCAAUGCCACUUCCUACUACGUGAUAAAGACCAUGAGGACUUUGCAGGACUGCCACCUGCGCCAUUGCCAAAAUGACGCCAUCUGCCAGAACAUUCAGGUUUCCAGCCUGUGAUGCUCCAGCAGUGAGAGAGGUGUUUCCAGACAUGGUUUCUUUGGUAAGGAGUGCUGAUGAACUCAUACCUGUUUAGCAGCUGUCACUCUAUCAACAACCCACUGUCAAAAAAUGGAGGAGAAAUGUGCUUGACAACGUGAGAGACAAAUUAUGAUCUGUGUCCUCCUUGCGCUACAUUCACGUAAAAUCCAAGGCUCACAUGUGCCAUUUACUUGAGUGUCUAAAGGAAUGUGUAGUUGUGAUCAGUUUCUCUAGAUCAGACACCACAUAGCUGUUAAAUAAUAUUAAGAAUGAUUUCACCAGGAGAUGCUUGUACUGGAUUUCACCCAAAACCUUUUUAUAUUGCAUAUACUACUGUUUUGCUGCAAAUAUGGUCUCAAAGCAAAGUAAGAACUUUGAAGAAUAUAUGCAUGACAUCAUCUAGAGGAAGAGACUGCAUGUUUACAGAGGUGUGGAAACACUUGACAAAAUAGAUUAUCUUUUUCAGUCUGUAUUCCAAAAAAAAAGGUUUUCUUGGACGAUGAACUCAGGAGUUUCCUGAGUUUUGUUCAUGGAGGGCAACCUCAUGGGUGGGACAUCAGGCUAGGUGCUGCAUGACCAAAAAAAAAAAAAAAAGAAGAAAAAGAAUCAGCAGGACAGUGCAGAAAAGCCACAAUUUGAAAAUUUUCCUGAGAGUCACAUACUUAGUAUCUUUCAGGUUAGUCUCUGGGAAUCCCUGACUCAGAUGUUGAAUUCUUGUGAGGAAUAUGAUUGAUCCUUGCAUGAAGUCUUCCUCCUCAAAGACAUAUUUCCAAAGGUUUUCUUUCUUUGUGAUGACUACUGGGCUCUGUGUUACACAAACAGAAGAAUGACAAGGCAAGAGCAGACAUGCUAACAUUUCAAUUUAUAUGGUAGCUGUAAAUGCUUGUAUAAGCUCAAAACAAGUGGUAGUCUUACUGAGGAGGCCUCCAGCUCUAGAAGCAGCUCAUAUAUUUAGGUGGUGGUGGAGGGGUAGGGGCUCUUACUGCUUAAAUCUUCAGUAGAUUUUUAAAGUUUAUUUUCAUAGUCUAAAGGCUUGGGAAAGUAAUGAUAAUACCACUGUCACUGUGGUCUUGUUAUUUGCAUGAUUUGGAUCCUCAGUACCACAAACAUACAAAAAUAGGAAAUAUUUCUGCCUUGCAUCCCCUCUGCAAUUGAGAGAUUGCCUACAGAGGGAAGAGGAACAGCUGUGGAGAUGACUGCUAUAAAGAAUAUCAGCCUCCAUUUACACCCCUUCAAGUGCAAGUGACAGCUGUAAACUGUAUCUAAGAUUUGAGCACACAACUGUGUCAGUUAAUAGUUCACUCAUGGAAAAAAAGAAGAUUUUUGGUUUGCUGGUGCUGUCCUGCACUUAAACUUUCUGUGCGUAUUUUCAAAGGCCUCUCAUUCCCAGCUGCACACAGAUUUACAAAAUAAGAUCUGUUAGCAACUUGUUCUCCAGUUUGCAGGGAUGGCUGAAGCUUACUUAACUUCUGGUAAAUUAAUGGAGAACAUCUACCUUACUCCUUUGGUACAAGCAGGUGUAAUGGAGAAUUCCCUUCUGCCAAAAUAAACUAUCCGAGGAACAAACUAGGAGUCUUUCUCAGCAAACUUUCUGACUUUUAAUUUAGAUGUUAUAAGGGGAAAAGCCACCAGUGAAAUGGAGAAGCUAACAGAUAAAAAUCUCUGGAAUGUCCUCUCUGCUCAGAGCUCAGGAAAACUCAAUUAUGCAGAGAGACCUGGCAUGAGCCCCAUGCUCCCCCAAGACGCAAGGGACUCCUUGAGGGUGUGAGAGCUGCAGUCCCAACCAAAAAUUUCCUUUUGUCUCUAUUAAUCCAGCAGACCUGACAAUGAACUUCUCAACCUCUGGGCAGGGAAAGCACGUGUUGGGUCACGCACUGCUGCCACCCUGGAUCACGGGGUGCUGCCUGUGGCUGGAGGACUGUGUGACACAAGAAAAGUGUUCUGGCAUAGCUGAAGCACCCUUGUUAAAAGGCCUCCUGUCAGCAGCAGGCAUGACUGACUGGUAGAGAUCAGGCUUAACUAAGUAAACUCCAUUUUUCACCUCAUCCCACAAGGCAGGUGUGGCUGGUUGAGAAAUCAAGGCUCACGCUUCCCCAAGGCCCUGCCCUGCCUCUUUACAGGGAGGAGGAAACGCAGCUGCCUCUGUUGCAAACUGGGCAUGGUCCAGGUUAAGCUGUGGGGUAACGUGAGGUCAGCCUGGUGUGAUGAUGGUCUGAUGUUCACAGCAUGCACUGUGCCAGGAAUGGUUAGUGAGUCACACAGCUCUCAGAAAGGUGUCUGGUCCACGUGAAAUAGAGAGACUCAAGAAACAUCACUUGCUUUAGCUGAAGUAAGGACAGUAAGGACAUAUGGCAAAGUCACACAGCUGCUGUGGAAACAAAGGGUAUGCCAGGCAGUAGGUUUUCUAGGAGACAGCCAGCCAAGGAGGCUGCAUCUGACCUGUGGUCUGUUUAAGAAAUACAGCCUCGCUGUCUUUGGUGUUUUGUCUCAUUCUGAUCAUGGGUUAAGCGAGGCACUCAGUCCAUUGUUCUUGCGACAUGAUAAGUAACUAGCUACAUGUAAACAAAGCAAUUAAGCUCCAUAAGGAACUGUUUGCCCUUCAAAGCUGAACUAAACAUUGAUUUUGUUUUGGGAAUCCAAAUAUGGUAAAUUACUGACAGUUAACUAUGACCAUGGGAUUGUUUCCUGCACAGAACGGGCUCCUGGAACAUGCAGCAGAAAAUCACCGUUCCUUCUCUUCACCCUGACAUUAACCAUGUAAAGAUCCUGCUGGGCUCACUGUAGCUGUCUUUUGCUGAGUAUCACUUUAGCAUAACUAAUUUGUGAUAAUUUAUGAUAAUUUUUAUCACAAUUUAUGAUAAGAAUAGAGAGAGAAGCUUCUUAGGCUGGCACAGCUUGCUCUAAACCCCUGCUCUUCAGCUGUAAAACCACCGGGCUCCAUCAGCACUCCUCCAGGAGAACAACUCUCAGUUG